UGCCAGAUGAAAUUUCAGAAUAUCCCUAGACGGGAGCUUCAAUUUCCCCUAGAAAUCCCUAAAUCGUAUUAAUGUCACCUAAAAAAGAAGAAAUUGACAGAUGACAGCUGUCAAUUUAAUUUAUAACCUAUUAAACACUAUGUUUAAUCCACUUUAAUCAUUGAUUAGGUAAUGUUUUAAUGUUUACUUAGGAAUAUUUAUGUCAGGGAACAAUAAAUAAUGACAAUAAUAAUAAUAUUUGAACAAAAAGAUAUUUAAUAACAACAAAAAAUGGCGCUAGCACAGUCUAAUAAAUCCCUAGAUUCCAAAAAAAAUCCCUCCAGAGCUCCAAAAGCUUGAAAAAAUCCCUAGAUUCGGGGAAAAUCCCUAGACAUGGUAACCCUGCUUAUGGCAUGUGAUCUAUUUCCCGACUCUGCACCCCCCACUACUGUUUAUUUGUGAACGUAUUUAAAGAAUGGCGGGAAGUUUGAAAAUGGCCAUGACUAACCAGCCAGAGCAAUGAGCAAUCUAACCUUACAUUUUCAUAUAUGAAAGUGUUUUGUUAUUGUUUUUGUAUUAGUGAAUUAUUUUAAUUUUAUCAAAUUUGCGUUUUAUAUUAAUAAAAUGUAUCCUUAGAAUUUGAUAACAAUUUAGUGAUGAUGAAAGAAUAAUAUAUUUUUUAAAUAACGCUUGAGCCUGUACCAUACGAGAACGAAAAAAGUUAUGGAAGAAUUUGAUGAUAUAUAACAAAUUUUUAUUAAGGUUUAUAGUUUCCAUAAAAAUACUGUGAGAUAAUUUAUACAAGAGCUGGUUCCUGGUUUCCAUUAUGUAAUUCUUCAGUAGGUAUGAUGAGCCUAAUAUCACAGAUCAAGUUUUAAUAACUUAUAUUAUGAGUUGUUUUUAUUUAUUGUAUGGUUUUGGUGGUAUACCUAUACAAAACAUAACUACUGAAAGAUUUAUAAAACCCAUGAAGUACUGGCAGAUAAUGUAGUUGUUGAUAUUGAUAGCGAAUGUGUUAACACAGAAGAUAUUCCAUUUAUGAGUACUAAUCUAUGAACAUGCUAUAAAAUACUAUAGAAUUUAACAUUUAUAAUAAAUAUUUAAACCUUU